rnacentral:tRNA from 1 species
UGCCCUGAUGGUGGAAUUGGUAGACACGCUAGUUUCAGGUACUAGAGCUCUAACGGGUGUGCGAGUUCAAGUCUCGCUUCGGGCAA